rnacentral:misc_RNA from 1 species
CAGAAAACCUGAAACUGGAAGAAACAGGAACAACUUCAGUACCAACUCGAACCCGAAAAGGCCAAUCAAGAAGAGGAAGGCCGCGGAGGGACUUCCAAAGGGACAUUCUUCCAGGCCUUGCUUCUUUGUCAAGGCAUGAAGUAACAGAAGAUCUUCAGACAUUUGGAGGGCUGAUGAGAGCAACUGGCCAUCUCUGGCAUUCAGGAUUAACGAGAAGGAAUUCUAGUAGAAGUGGUUGUGGGAGGGGGAGGAGGCGUGCACUGGUUAGUUCCCCUCCUGCUGUAAUGGCAAGCCCGCCUUGUACUCCCCUAUUACAGCAGCUUAAUAAUGUUGAAAUGGGACUAGAGGAUAGAAGCCUAACAGGGUGGGGGAAGACGACUAGACGUCCCCGCCGGCAAAGAUGCCCUCAGGGAAAUCUUGCUGCUCUCCCUUUGACCUAAUGGUUGGAAGAGACUUUGAUUUAAGAAUUGAGAAUGCUGUAGAGGGCAUUGAGGAGAUUCAUUUCUAUGGCUCUGGGAAUUGAGAUUGUUUUGAGCCAGAGGCAGUUGGGGAUUCUUUGUAAAUUUUCUUAGCCCAUAAUCUGGGUCCCCUUAAUUAUCUGUGUUUGGGUGGUUAACAACUUUAUAUUAUUAUUCAUAAAUAAUGUUGCAUGAUUUCUUCUUAGAUAUGUAUAUGCUAGUUAGCAUCCUUUGGCAUCAUUUGGAAGAAACAAGUAUAGAUAGGUAAUGUAAGAGCACGCGCAGGUGAGGCGCGCGUGGGAGAGGAAGAGAAGAUCUAAGUAUUGUAAUGUAAAGGAAUGGGGGUGCAGAAAGCGGCAAAUAAGAUGUCGGUGUCAGAGCCAGAUUGAUGCGUAAUCUUAAUAUGUGGUCUUCCUCAUUUUUACUUA